rnacentral:rRNA from 1 species
AUUGAACGCUGGCGGCAGGCCUAACACAUGCAAGUCGAGCGGAUGAAGAGAGCUUGCUCUCUGAUUUAGCGGCGGACGGGUGAGUAAUGCCUAGGAAUCUGCCUGGUAGUGGGGGAUAACGUUCCGAAAGGAACGCUAAUACCGCAUACGUCCUACGGGAGAAAGCAGGGGACCUUCGGGCCUUGCGCUAUCAGAUGAGCCUAGGUCGGAUUAGCUAGUUGGUGAAGUAAUGGCUCACCAAGGCUACGAUCCGUAACUGGUCUGAGAGGAUGAUCAGUCACACUGGAACUGAGACACGGUCCAGACUCCUACGGGAGGCAGCAGUGGGGAAUAUUGGACAAUGGGCGAAAGCCUGAUCCAGCCAUGCCGCGUGUGUGAAGAAGGUCUUCGGAUUGUAAAGCACUUUAAGUUGGGAGGAAGGGCAGUAAGUUAAUACCUUGCUGUUUUGACGUUACCGACAGAAUAAGCACCGGCUAACUUCGUGCCAGCCGCCGCGGUAA